AUGACCAGAUAAAAUUCAAGAAAAUCAACUUGUAAAAAUUUUGAAAGCGGAAAAGAUUUAGAGUACAAGAGAAUCACGACCUUUGAAUCAAGUUGACAGAAACUGAUUCAGCGUCUGAACAUUUGUGGACAUGUGUCCUAACCUUUUCAUAAGGUUGAGAAAUAAAUAAAUAAAUUAUCAGAAGUUAUGCUAUACUUGAUUCGAGAUAAACAUAAAACAGCUAAUCUAAUUCUGAUGCAGUCACUUCA
rnacentral:misc_RNA from 1 species